GGGGAUGAUGCAAACCGAGCACAGGAGCAAAAGUCUGGCUGCGAUUCGAACCGGCGCUGCCAAGGAACCGCCCCCAGGGUCAAGAAACACAUUAAAAUGAACCAGGCUUCUGCAGUCUUAAAGAGAGAGUUUAAGUAAGAAACAGCAAAAUGAAGAUCAGGCAUUCCCUGCUGCUACAACAUGUUUUCCUGUUCCAGGCUACACUGCAGUUUCUCUUCACUGUGUGAUUCCAGGAUUUUUA